rnacentral:tRNA from 1 species
AAUAAGAUGCCUGAAUAAAGGAUUAUUUUGAUAGAAUAAAUUAUGUGUAUUUUAUAAUAUACUCUUAUUG